AGUGAACGCUGGCGGUAGGCCUAACACAUGCAAGUCGAACGGCAGCACAGGAGAGCUUGCUCUCUGGGUGGCGAGUGGCGGACGGGUGAGGAAUACAUCGGAAUCUACUCUGUCGUGGGGGAUAACGUAGGGAAACUUACGCUAAUACCGCAUACGACCUACGGGUGAAAGCAGGGGACCUUCGGACCUUGCGCGAUUGAAUGAGCCGAUGUCGGAUUAGCUAGUUGGCGGGGUAAAGGCCCACCAAGGCGACGAUCCGUAGCUGGUCUGGGAGGAUGAUCGGCCACACUGGAACUGAGACACGGUCCAGACUCCUACGGGAGGCAGCAGUGGGGAAUAUUGGACAAUGGGCGCAAGCCUGAUCCAGCCAUACCGCGUGGGUGAAGAAGGCCUUCGGGUUGUAAAGCCCUUUUGUUGGGAAAGAAAUCCAGCUGGCUAAUACCCGGUUGGGAUGACGGUACCCAAAGAAUAAGCACCGGCUAACUUCGUGCCAGCCGCCGCAGUAA
rnacentral:rRNA from 1 species